GAAAUUUCAAGGUACGUCUUUGCCCGCUGCAAUUUCUACCCUUAAAGAUAGAUGUGGAAUUUCAUCUGUUGUUCUCUUUUGUUUUAUGUGCUGUCUAUGAGUCAUUAGAAUGAGCAAUGGCUGGCAUAACAUUUAGACAUAGUGUGAUGUAGAAUAGCUAAGAACAAAAAACAAAAUAAGAACCAAUCCUUGGAAAGAGAACUAAUUAGGAAUACUAAAUAAGA
rnacentral:misc_RNA from 1 species